rnacentral:lncRNA from 1 species
AUGUGUGUACCUCAGUGCACAGUAUACAUCCUGCUAGAGUCUGAAAACAGAAAAACAAGAGUGAUGGGAAGGAAGUUGAAGAGUCCUCUAGGGUACAGUGCACCCAAGUUAUCUUCUCUCCCAGGCAUGUCCCAGGCAUUUUAUCUCCUUCCUUACUGGCCCAAUUCUCUCUGCUUAUGAAUGUGUGCAAUUUCUAAAGAAAAUAAAAACAACAACAACAAACUACUU